UACGAAGGGGGCUAGCGUUGUUCGGAAUUACUGGGCGUAAAGCGCGCGCAGGCGGUCUUCCAAGUCAGUGGUGAAAGCCCGGAGCUCAACUCCGGAACUGCCAUUGAAACUGUAAGACUUGAGGAUGAGAGAGGUGAGUGGAAUUCCCAGUGUAGAGGUGAAAUUCGUAGAUAUUGGGAAGAACACCAGUGGCGAAGGCGGGUCUCUGGGCAGUAACUGACGCUGAGGAGACGAAAGCGUGGGGAGCGAACAGG
rnacentral:rRNA from 1 species